UACGUAGGGUGCAAGCGUUGUCCGGAAUUAUUGGGCGUAAAGAGCUCGUAGGCGGUCUGUCGCGUCGGAUGUGAAAAUCCAAGGGCUCAACCCUGGACCUGCAUUCGAUACGGGCAGACUAGAGUUCGGCAGGGGAGACUGGAAUUCCUGGUGUAGCGGUGAAAUGCGCAGAUAAUCAGGAGGAACACCGGUGGCAAAGGCGGGCUCUGGGCCGAA
rnacentral:rRNA from 1 species